AUUGAACGCUGGCGGCAGGCCUAACACAUGCAAGUCGAGCGGAUCGGCGGCCGGGUAAGUAAUGCCUAGGAAUCUGCCUGGUCGUGGGGGAUGACGUCCACAAACGGGCGCUAAUACCACAUCCUAUCAGAUGCGCCUAGGUCGGAUUAGCUAGUUGGUGGGGUAACGGCCUACCAAGGCGACGAUCCGUAACUGGUCUGAGAGGAUGACCAGUCACACUGGAACUGAGACACGGUCCAGACUCCUACGGGAGGCAGCAGUGGGGAAUAUUGGACAAUGGGCGAAAGCCUGAUGCAGCCAUGCCGCGUGUGUGAAGAAGGCCUUCGGAUUGUAAAGCACUUUAAGUUGGGAGGCGUUACCAACAGAAUAAGCACCGGCUAACUCCGUGCCAGCAGCCGCGGUAAUUC
rnacentral:rRNA from 1 species